CCACACGCGCACGUCUCCCACGUCCCACGCCCCAUCGCCUCCCAAACCCCACCCCCCUCAGUCGAUCCCAUGUCUCUCCCCAGAAAAUUGCAGCCGCCGGCCUCUUCCUUCAUCGCUCGACUCGGUUAAUGCGAUGAGGACGGCCGGAUCCUUCUGUCCUCUCACCCACGACCUCUCGCUUUCCCGUCGUCGACCCUACGCCGUAUCUGCCCGCCAUCCCCUUUCCCCGCCGUGUGACUUCCGCGGCAGACAGGGAAGUUGGCAACCACCGAGGCCCAUGGCCCUCCUACACUUGCCGGAGCCAUCAGCUGGGACCAAGGAAGGAGAUGGCCAUGGGCAGGGGUGUCUAGCUCCUCCUCCUUGACCAGUUCAUCCCGCAGUCACCAUCGUCUUCCACGCGACCAUGCCAGAUUCGCGUCAUCAUCAUCAUCAUCACAGGUAGGCAGCGGUGGCUGCGGUGAGGGCACGUGCGGCGGGGAGGGCCAUAACCCUGACUUCAGUACGCGAUGUUACAGGUUGUUGAAUUUAUACAGUUUUUGGAAGAGAAAAAAAUGGCUUGUGUUCGGGUGAGGCCCAGAUACAACAUCCCACAUUUUGUUUUCGAAAUCAUCUCUACUUAACUACAAAGGUUGUGGUUGCAACUUGGAUGCAGAGGAAGAGUAAUUUGGCUGCUAAGGUAUCAAGGUAAGGAAAAAGAAAUAUUGCCCCAGUGUUUAUGAUUUGUCUGGUUAGGGUCAUAGUGUAUUUUAAUCCAUUAUGAAUUUCUAUAGCUGUGAAUUAUAUAUACACAUGUACGAAGAAACAAUAGAUUAAGUUUGUUUCAUCCUUUGGGUGUAUAUUUUGAAGUUCCUGAGUGACAA